rnacentral:rRNA from 1 species
CUGACGGGGGGCCGCUGACUCAGCCUUGUUACCCUAACUUGACCACGGGGUAAAAAUGCCUCGACGCCCUAGAAGGACGACAAGACCCUAUAAAACUUCACUACUUUCAGUUGAUCCUUUUAGAUUAGAAUUUUAAUCUGAACGUAGUUUAGCUGGGGCGGCCAACCCUCUCCGGGAUUGAAACCUAACACCGUGCGUGGUCCCUCGAUCAUACUUUAAUAGAAAGACCAAGUUACUUUAGGGAUAACAGCGCAAUAAUUCCGAAGAGCCCCUAUCGAUGGAGUUGUUUGCGACCUCGAUGUUGAAUUGGAGCCCUGCUCGGAGCAGCCCCCGAGCAAAGGAGGUCUGUUCGACCUUUAAUUCUCCACAU